CUAGGAACCAAUCACAUACCAAUUGAAAGAGGAGUCGUAGAGUUUCUGACUGCCACUGGAAGAUGGCUCCCUUCAGUCUGCGAGGAGAUGGGGACCCCUGAGCAGAAAGCGUUUCUCCACUUCAGAAAAGAGAGGAUAGUAAAUGACACAUACAGGACGGACUUGUGCCAACUCUAUCCACCCUUCAUGAUAGCCCUCGUGUGAGGGCUGUUGUUAGAGCUGGCUUGUCCUGUGGGAAGGUGUCGGCUGGACGUGAAACAGGCAGCACGCGCACACACACACACACACACACACACACAUACACAC